GCGGCGGCACAGGGUUUCCUCCGCUGUGUACAAUGGACUGGAGGGACAAAGAGCAUCACUGGAAGAGGUGACGCUUCAGGCUGCGUAUUACCUCACCUGGACAGUGAAUUGGUAUUUCCUAUCGCCUACAACCACAUCCUCAGCAUCAGCAGCAGCAGGCCGGCCAGUGCGCAUGCGUAGUUGAGUUGGCCGCGCGAGGGGGCGCUGUUGCACAGGUCCGAGUCGCAGCAGUGGAUGCGCACGCCUGGCAGCUCCUGUUGUUGGCAGUGUCUGGACGUGGCACAGCCGCUGGUCAGGACGAUGCCCAGUGCCGCUGCAUGGAUGGAUGGAGAACAUGACAAGUCAGUCGCCGAGUCGUCGACUGCCUCAGCACGAAAAUAGCUGCAGCAGGCAGCAACUAGUGUAAGUCGGUAAUUAGCGGGUCAUUUACCUGUCAAAGAAAUGGCAUUAUUUGAGGAAAUACCUAUUGUGACUGACUAAAUUGGUUUAUGUAAUUGCAUAAACUACUAGUCUGAUAAUAAGGCACUUUUGAUACAAAUACAUUUUUGUUAUGAUUAAAAAAAAAAAAGCCAAAAUGUUCAUGGGAAAUGGCAGUCAAAUUCAGUUUUUGCAGACUGUAGCAAGGUUCUAAUUAGCAUUGGGAAAAUUCCCAAAUCCAACCUGACGUCCACUGGACACAAGGAGCUCAGCACCGAGGACUUCUUUCAUAAUCUUUAUAAUUGAGAGUCCAGUCCCAAGGUAAGCGUCACAUGCCCCCAAUGUCACAAUGCAUUUCCCCCUUUCUUUUAUUUGCUUUCUGACCUCUCGGGAGGUUAUGUUUUCCUCACCUCAGGUAUGUUUGUGUCUGCAGCUUCCUGGCAGCUGUUUUUUUUUUCUUCUCGUUUUUAGAAACCUCAAUUUAUCCAAAGAUAUCACCCAUGAAAUUUUCCACAACAUCUACUAACAACCCAGGCUAAGCUCUCCUCUGACAUACAAAGACGUCAAUUCAACAAACUUCCUUGACACAAAUUUCUAUUCAGAUUUCUUUUCCCAAAACGCACAAAAAUCAGAUUCCACUCGGAAGAAAACGCUAAGAGGGGAAUUUAUGAACAACGAAUCACGACUGCGCGACAUUUUAAGCCUUGGCGGAGGUCAGGCUGAUUACUGAUUUUGACAAGAGUGUUUGUCAGUCGGUGUGAUGUUGUCAGCCUUGGUCUUAGCUUGCACUCUCUCAAAGGAGGAGGAAAAAGGUGCCUCAUCAGCCCUUUGGGCUUCCAGACGUCAAGCGAGGCAACAUCUGGAUGUGUGUGUGCGCACAUCUCAGCAUCUGACCAUCACCGCCGCCCUGUUGAGGACAUCCUCCGUUUGACUUCACAUGGCACCACGAGGGGCCUCUCACGGACUCAGCAAGGCGACUAAAACAGCGGCGUUAUAAGCGGUGCUUGAAGCCCUUGUGUGAGUGGGUGCAGGUGAGCACCUCUGGGUUGGAGCAGCCCACGUCCACGUACCGCUGAUCCUGGAUGAUGUUGCAGCCAUAGCACUGCAGACCCUCCACUACGCGGGCAACAUAGAGAGAGAAAAGACAACGUGACAAGUACUUUCAAGAAAAGAUGCGGGCUGAAUCCACCUGGGCGGUGGGGGUUAAGCCGGGAUUGCCUGUGAAUUCAGAGUGAUCGCACACACCUGCGACUGACCUGCCAAAUCCCGCACACACAAGAUGGAAGAUCAGCUUUGGAGCUGAAACCAAUCCGCCCUCUUUAUCUGCGGUGGCCCACGGAGGACACCAGCCUCUCACUUGCCUGGCCGCCGCUAAAUAGCCAAACCCAAAGCCGGGAUGGAGCUUUCAGGAGUGAACUAAUCCCGCCGCAAAUGCUCUUACAAAAAUCACUUUUGGAAAUCUGCUGGAAUCGAUGUAAAGCUUCGCCGGGACUGCAAGUGCGUGCCAACCUUUAAGGGGAUGUGUCAGAUUUCGCCCCAUGGUGGUGAUACGAGACCAGGGGUCAGGUCACCCCCAAGGAAAUAGCUCACCAGUGAUGGGGCAUUGUGAUUCCCUAAGAAUGUUGUCAAAGUCAUCAUUUUCAAAAGUGUCACUCACAUUCUCACCUGUGGACAAUUUCUGGGUUAGGAAUGUUGACUGUUCACCUAAUUGUCGAUGUAUUUUUUUUUGGGCCCAUUUCCAAAUUCGCACCAUCUCGGGGGGGCAUUCUAAGUAUUCCAUUAGCGCGGCACUAAGGCCUGCCGCGUUUGUUUUGCCGGAUGGAAAUGACGGCAAUUUACAUCGGGCAAAAGAAGCUGAUUUAACUCUUCGUUAGCAUUCAAUGCUGCAUGCUGGCUGCACUCAUGAAGCAGUGAGGAGCUGCCCAGUUAUGAGCAUUUGUCAACAUAAUGAGGACUUACUGGGGAGACAUUCUACCCUCCCGCCUCACUCCCCCACCCCCUAUUGGUAAACUCCAAUUUAUUCUCACUGCACGCCAGGUUGUCUCGAACCAAAAACGGAUGAAUUGUAAAGACAUCUCACUCCAUUGGUACCAAAGUGGGAUUCGCUGGCAGCUACUUGUUUUACGGGCCCAUUGCGAUGCGAUUAUAUAUCUAAUGGGAAAGGAAGCUUAAAUACUGGAUUGCUAAUAUUUUUGUCCGAAAACUUAAAAAGUGAAACAAAAAAAAGGGAAUAAAAAUAGCCAGUGGGGCAAUGCAACCAAUGCCCCUAAUAAAAUACAUGCAAAGUGACUGUCUCAAAUUGUUUUUUUUUUCUUUUUCGAGUCUCUUUCUUUUGUUUCUGAAAGAGGAGUAAAUCCAUAAGAUUCUGUACUACAAUGUACUGUACUGACUUUUAUAAUUAAUAGAAACUGAAUUGAAAGAAGUGUCUUAUUUAAAAAAAAAUAUAUAUAUACGAAGGAAACGUAAUAUAAAAUUACAGUUGAUCGGACCUUAUUUAAAAUUGAUCAGUUGAUUAUUCAUGUGACCUGUCAGCUCUUCAACUUUCUUGAUUUAAAAAAAAAA